GAUGAAGAACGCAGCGAAAUGCGAUACGUAAUGUGAAUUGCAGAAUUCAGUGAAUCAUCGAAUCUUUGAACGCACAUUGCGCCCGCCAGUAUUCUGGCGGGCAUGCCUGUCCGAGCGUCAUUUCAACCCUCGAACCCCUCCGGGGGGUCGGCGUUGGGGAUCGGCCCUUUCACCGGGUGCCGUCCCCCAAAUACAGUGGCGGUCUCGCCGCAGCCUCUCAUGCGCAGUAGUUUGCACACUCGCACCGGGAGCGCGGCGCGUCCACGUCCGUAAAACACCCCAAACUUCUGAAAUGUUGACCUCGGAUCAGGUAGGAAUACCCGCUGAACUUAAGCAUAUCAAUAAGCGGAGGA
rnacentral:misc_RNA from 1 species